UAGUCCCGGCCGUAAACGAUGGAUACUAGGUGUUGCGGGUAUCGACCCCUGCAGUGCCGCAGCUAACGCGUUAAGUAUCCCGCCUGGGGAGUACGCACGCAAGUGUGAAACUCAAAGGAAUUGACGGGGACCCGCACAAGCGGUGGAACAUGUGGUUUAAUUCGAAGCAACGCGAAGAACCUUACCAGGGCUUGACAUCUAACAAAUCUUGAUGAAAGUCGAGAGUGCCUUUCGGGGAAUGUUAAGAC
rnacentral:rRNA from 1 species